rnacentral:ncRNA from 1 species
UCAAAUGCGUUGAAGGGUAGCAGUAAACAUUUAUUUGUUUAUAGAGAGUCGGCCGUGUGGUGGAAGGUCGAUAGCAAAGGUGUUGAAUCCGACCCGGAGCAUUGGGGGAGUAACAACCUCCAACGUCUGAUUCCCGUUAAAGAAUUUAGAGACUGCACAUAUACUAUGCAGUAAAACAAGGUGGCACCACGUGGAUAUACAACCCCGUCCUUGAC